rnacentral:rRNA from 1 species
GGUUAAAUCCAUGCCCUCAACGCAUGGGCUGCCGAGAAUACUGCCAGACUAGGGAGUGGGAAAGGUGGGGGGUACUCUCAGGGUAGGGGUAAAAUCCUUUGAUCUUUAGAUGACCCCCUGUGGCGAAGGGGGCCUACCAGAACACGUCCGACGGUGAGGGAUGAAAGCUGGGGGAGCAAACCGGAUUAGAUACCCGGGUAGUCCCAGCUGUAAACGAUGCGGACUCGAUGAUGCGUUGGCUCCGGGCCACUGCAGUGUCGCAGGGAAGCCGUUAAGUCCACUGCCUGGGAAGUACGGUCGCAAGGCUGAAACUUAAAGGAAUUGGCGG